AUUGAACGCUGGCGGCAGGCCUAACACAUGCAAGUCGAACGGUAACAGGAAACAGCUUGCUGUUUCGCUGACGAGUGGCGGACGGGUGAGUAAUGUCUGGGAAACUGCCUGAUGGAGGGGGAUAACUACUGGAAACGGUAGCUAAUACCGCAUAACGUCGCAAGACCAAAGAGGGGGACCUUCGGGCCUCUUGCCAUCAGAUGUGCCCAGAUGGGAUUAGCUAGUAGGUGUGGUAACGGCUCACCUAGGCGACGAUCCCUAGCUGUUCUGAGAGGAUGACCAGCCACACUGGAACUUAGACACGGUCCAGACUCCUACGGGAGGCAGCAGUGGGGAAUAUUGCACAAUGGGCGCAAGCCUGAUGCAGCCAUGCCGCGUGUAUGAAGAAGGCCUUCGGGUUGUAAAGUACUUUCAGCGGGGAGGAAGGGAGUAAAGUUAAUACCUUUGCUCAUUGACGUUACCCGCAGAAGAAGCACCGGCUAACUCCGUG
rnacentral:rRNA from 1 species